rnacentral:rRNA from 1 species
UCUGUAAAGCAUGAGUUUUUUAAGUAUUGGAGAAAGAAAUUUUGUAUAAGUAAUUAUUUAAGUACUGUUAAGGAAGUUUUUAAAAGUUUUUUAAGAAGUUUUGAUUCUAACUUUUUGUAUCAUGGUUUAAUGAGAUUUUAAUUUUAGUUUUUUAGUUCUCGAAAUCUUGUGAGCUAUUUUUUUUACGUUGAGUACUUUACAUAAGUUAAUGUUGAAUAAUUAUUUAAAUAAAAAAAAAUAGAAGUGAUAUUCUUUCGCACAAGAUAAUAGCUUGUUUUUGCUAUUUUUCUCUUAGGAUUUUUAUUUUAGGAUUGGUUUACUUUUAGUUUUUUGGGGAUAAGCUCUAAAAACUGAUUAAAAUAACUCUUUUUUGGCUUUCUUGUGGGCAUAAAAGCUGCCGCCAUUUUAAGUUCGUUUUAGACUAGCUUCGCUAGGUAGUUUUUCUUUUCUAAGCAAAUUUCUUCAAUAAUUUUUUUGUCUAAAGAUAAUGUUAAUAUUAGUACUAUUUUUAGUAACAGAUUUUGUUUUAAAGUGAUAGUUAUCUUUUUCUAUUGAAUUUUGAAAGUUAAAAAAAAGGAAUUCGGCAAAAUGGAUCCCAUCUGUUUAUCAAAAACAUAGCUUAUUGCUUUUUUUAAUAAGUACUUUCUGCCCGGUGUAAUUUAUAAACGGCCGCGGUAUCUUGACCGUGCAAAGGUAGCAUAAUCAUUUGUCCUUUAAUUGGGGGCUAGAAUGAAGGGAAAUUUGAGGUUCCGUCUGUCUCUUUUUUGUAAAGGUAAUUUGCUGUUUUUGUGAAGAAGCAAAAAUUUUUAAAAAAGACAAGAAGACCCUAUUAAGCUUUUACUUUUAUAGUUGUUAAUGUUUUCUUUAAAGUACACUUGUUAAUAUAUAAAAGUUUGGUUGGGGUGACUAAAGAAGAAAAAAAUCUUCUUUUUUAUAACAAACUAUUUGUUCAAAAAUGACCCAAAAUUUUUUGGUUUUAAGAAUAAGUUACUAUAGGGAUAACAGCGUAAUCUUUUCUUAAAGUUCGUAUUGAAGAAAAGGAUUGCGACCUCGAUGUUGACUUGUUUUUUCCUAAUAAGGUGUAGCUGCUAGUAAGGUUGGUCUGUUCGACCAUUAAAAUAAUACGUGAGUUGAGUUCAGACCGGCGUGAGCCAGGUUGGUUUCUAUCUUUUUAAUUUUAGUUUUAAGAUAACUAGUACGAAAGGACCGUUGUCUUGUAUUUUAAAUAUAUGUUUAUUGACUUUGAUUUAUUUAGCAGAGUUAAU